ACUCCUACGGGAGGCAGCAGUAGGGAAUCUUCCACAAUGGGCGCAAGCCUGAUGGAGCAACACCGCGUGAGUGAAGAAGGGUUUCGGCUCGUAAAGCUCUGUUGUUAAAGAAGAACACGUAUGAGAGUAACUGUUCAUACGUUGACGGUAUUUAACCAGAAAGUCACGGCUAACUACGUGCCAGCAGCCGCGGUAAUACGUAGGUGGCAAGCGUUAUCCGGAUUUACUGGGCGUAAAGAGAGUGCAGGCGGUUUUCUAAGUCUGAUGUGAAAGCCUUCGGCUUAACCGGAGAAGUGCAUCGGAAACUGGAUAACUUGAGUGCAGAAGAGGUAGUGGAACUCCAUGUGUAGCGGUGGAAUGCGUAGAUAUAUGGAAGAACACCAGUGGCGAAGGCGGCUACCUGGUCUGCAACUGACGCUGAGACUCGAAAGCAUGGGUAGCGAACAGGAUUAGAUACCCCUGGUAGGAUAGCG
rnacentral:rRNA from 1 species